GCUUGCUUUUCAAAGUUAGUGGCGGACGGGUGAGUAACGCGUGGGUAACCUGCCUCAUACAGGGGAAUAGCAGCUGGAAACGGCUGAUAAAACCGCAUAAGCGCACAGUGCCGCAUGGCACAGUGUGAAAAACUCCGGUGGUAUGAGAUGGACCCGCGUCUGAUUAGCUUGUUGGCGGGGUAACGGCCCACCAAGGCGACGAUCAGUAGCCGGCCUGAGAGGGUGAUCGGCCACAUUGGGACUGAGACACGGCCCAAACUCCUACGGGAGGCAGCAGUGGGGAAUAUUGCACAAUGGGGGAAACCCUGAUGCAGCGACGCCGCGUGAAGGAAGAAGUAUCUCGGUAUGUAAACUUCUAUCAGCAGGGAAGAUAAUGACGGUACCUGACUAAGAAGCCCCGGCUAACUACGUGCCAGCGGCCGCGGUAAUACGUAGGGGGCAAGCGUUAUCCGGAUUUACUGGGUGUAAAGGGAGCGUAGGCGGCGGAGCAAGUCAGAAGUGAAAGCCCGGGGCUCAACCCCGGGACGGCUUUUGAAACUGCCCUGCUUGAUUUCAGGAGAGGUAAGCGGAAUUCCUAGUGUAGCGGUGAAAUGCGUAGAUAUUAGGAGGAAUACCAGUGGCGAAGGCGGCUUACUGGACUGACAAUGACGCUGAGGCUCGAAAGCGUGGGGAGCAAACAGG
rnacentral:rRNA from 1 species